rnacentral:rRNA from 1 species
AGUGAACGCUGGCGGUAGGCCUAACACAUGCAAGUCGAACGGCAGCACAGGAGAGCUUGCUCUCUGGGUGGCGAGUGGCGGACGGGUGAGGAAUACAUCGGAAUCUACUCUGUCGUGGGGGAUAACGUAGGGAAACUUACGCUAAUACCGCAUACGACCUACGGGUGAAAGCAGGGGACCUUCGGGCCUUGCGCGAUUGAAUGAGCCGAUGCCGGAUUAGCUAGUUGGCGGGGUAAAGGCCCACCAAGGCGACGAUCCGUAGCUGGGCUGAGAGGAUGAUCAGCCACACUGGAACUGAGACACGGUCCAGACUCCUACGGGAGGCAGCAGUGGGGAAUAUUGGACAAUGGGCGCAAGCCUGAUCCAGCCAUACCGCGUGGGUGAAGAAGGCCUUCGGGUUGUAAAGCCCUUUUGUUGGGAAAGAAAUCCAGCUGGCUAAUACCCGGUUGGGAUGACGGUACCCAAAGAAUAAGCACCGGCUAACUUCGUGCCAGCCGCCGCAGUAA